UCUACCUUGUAUGGUCCUGGUCGGCGACGGGUCCUCUUCCUUAGUUGGCUGUAGGCAUGCUGCGGACAGAGAAUAUUAACAUUCAAGACCAAAGAAACAAAAGCAAUCCUUGUGCCCCCGCCCAGCUUCUACCCACUGAACACUAGCAUUUAGCCAGCGCCCAUUAAAGGCAGCCCAAGUGCUCCAUCUGAAUUCAGCACCAACAGCCAGUCCACCUACCAGCCUCAUUUGACAGAUGAGGAAACCGAGGCCAGAUUCUCUGGAGAGUAAGUGGUCUCAGGUCCCGCCUCCAAGCUCCGAGUCCUUCUCUGUCCAGGGUAGCGGAGCAGCUUCCGCAGAAACCCAGGGCGCAGGCAUGGCCGCCGACUUGCCUUCCCAUUGGAAGUCGCUAAUGAAAAGCUCUUUCUGAGCGUGCCUGCACAGCACAAAAUGCCAUUAAAAAGAGGUCGCGCGCUCUGCCGUAAAAGCCGGGAUCCCCGCACCCACUCUGGCCACAGGGCAGUUAGGGUGAGCCUUGUUGGUUGGUCUGCUCCUCCUCCUCUGUGGAGGUGGGCCGGGCGCAGCGUUUCCGCCGCGUCAGUUUAGGAGCGAGGGUCAACGGAAAAGGCGCGCUCGGCCAACGAUCUUUCCGGAAAUGGGGAGGCAAACAGUCCUUCGAGCUCCUGUCGUUGGAAGUUGGCAACCGGGAAACCGUUGGAGAAGGAACCCGCAGCCCUGAGGUCAUCUGCCACUGGGGAAUGAAGCCUCGAAGCCAGUACAGGCAGCCGGGGCGGUUGGGCGAUCCCCCCUCUCGGAGGAGGCUGCAUUUCCUUUAUUCUUCCCCAGGCACGGAGGGAGCUUUGCAUCCUUGAGAAUGGUCCAGGCUGUCCUGGCAUUUCUUUGCCCUUCUGAAGGCUGCUGUGUGGGUUCCCCCCUCCUUUCUUUUAAUCGGGCGCUCUGACUCAAAACUGCGGCCGGGAUGGCCAAUGGAUAAUCAACAAACCUUUAGUAAUCACCAUGUGCCAGCCACUGCCAGGCCCAGGAGGCAAAAGGCAGGCCUUGCCCUGAGACACUUAUAACCCAAUGGGCUCUUUGACAAGCGCAGGGAUGGGGCUGGACUGGGGAAAGAAUUCAGUUUUUUCAAAGAAAAUCCAGGAAAAAUGAAAAUGGAUCCAUUGCCUAAAAGACACAGAAGACCCUCCAAUCCUUCCACACACCGAGGGAAGCUUGACAUGUGCCACUGAGCCAAGAUCUCUUUCUGAGCUUCAGAUCCCCCAAGGGACGCCUGCUUCACCAGGGAGCACAGCUAGGGGAGGAUUUCCAAUCAGAUCUAGCCAGGCUUGUCAAAAGAGUCCAAACUGAGGGAUUCUUCAAUCAAUCAAUCAAUCGAUCGAUCGGUCAAUCAAUCAACCAACAUUUAUUAAGCACCUAUUCUGUAUCAGGUCCUAUGCUGAGAGCUGGCUCUGCAAAGAGAGACUGAAGACAAUGCCUCCCUUCCAGGAGCUCACAAUUUAAGGGCUGAAAAAUGUAAAAAGUCCAAUCGUUCUCCUACAAAGUAGUAAAGAAAUGCUAGCUGUCUUUCCGAAUUGUAUGGCUCUCCCAUGGGCUCUGGUGCUCGGGGGGAGAAGCAGCGCAGCAUUGGGGGAGCUGCCCUCUGAGCUUCCUUCUUUCUGGCUGUGAGGGGCUAAGAUUGGGAUACUGUCCUCUAAUUCCUCCCUCUUCCGGGCUAGCCGGACUCCCUAUUCAAGUUUAUAGAUAGGGUUAGGACUUGGGGGGCAACCCCUGGGGACAUGAAACAAAUGUCCAGUGAGGCUGUGUGGCUCGCCUACUCUAUGGUCUUGAUUUUAUAGCCAGAAGCAGUCUAUAAAUGACUAGUGAUCAGGCUCUUGCUAUAGUCGCGCACUGGGCUAGUCAAUGCUUGAUUUCAUUUUCAUUGUCCCUUUCCCAGUGCCUAGCACAGUGUCUCGCAUACUGUAAGUGCCUAAUAAAUGCUUUUUCAUUGGCCAGCCUUGAAAUAAGAUGCUGAUAUUCUAAAAUCAAUCUCAUUGUGGCCAAAGCACCCAGCUUUGGGACCAGAGUUCCUAAUCUCACCCCAAAGUUUUCAGUCACCCCACCAGCAAGAAAGGGCACUCACUCAACGAAGGUGCUGAAUGCUGGAGGGGGGCCUGCAGUCAGGCCUGCCGCCCGGGGGGCCUCGGGGGGCUCACCGACCAUCUCGAGGCCUUAGUGUUCAGGCGGCCUCGAGUGCUCGGAAAGUGUGAGUCAUGGUGGCGUCUCGGGCACCGAUGCGGGCCAGUGGGGCCGUCCGGGAUCGUUGAGACCCCGCCUAGGAGGCAGAGGCCAGGCAGUGUGGGGGCAGCUCGCUCUCUUCCUCAGCCCUGUCCCAAGGUCCCCCAGGGAGGUCCAGAGUCUCCCAGCGGUCCCAGCCGCUGUGCAGGGCGUGAGCUCCUGGAGGGCAGGGAUGGUCCAGUUCUCUGCAUCCUUAGUGUUGAGCAGGUGCCUGGCACACAGUAGGAGCUUCCUAAUGGCUUGUGGCUGGCCUCGCUGUAAUCUUGGGAUGAGUCCCGGCCCUGAAGGGCAGUGACGGGCCAUGCAAGCAGCCAGCUGAGGACCCAGAAGCGGCUGCCGGGGAGUGGUGCCCCCGAAGGCGGGAGCCGAGGCGGCGUCCUCCCAGGCUCUCCUCCCUGAAUGCUGGCGCCGUGAGCAAUGUGGGUCUCUCUCAACGUGGAGAAUACGGAAACACAGACUGUGGCCAUUAGGACGCGGCCUGCCCAACGUGCAACGCCGUCAUUGCCCGUGUGGAGCUCAGUGCAGCAUGGAGUUGUUCGGGGAGGCUGGAGACAAGCUCGUGGCUCUCUCCCAGCCGCCAUCCCUUCAGGCCCUGGACGUCCCGCCUGGCCGGGGGCCAGAAGUCUGCCAGGGCUCUCUGACUGCAGAGGACCACGAAGGCCCCGGACUCCUCCUCUAGCCUCGGAGCUUUGCUCCUCCCCGUAGGGAGCGGGUGACCGUCGGCCCUGACCAGCGCUGCUCAUGCUUCAGUGAGGAGGAAGGUCUUGGGAGAAGGGAGAAAGCCGGGGCCAGGGCCGGCGACGGAGCAUCCUAGCAAGGGAAAGGAGCAGAGGGUCGCCGGCGGGAUGAAAGCCCCUCGGAGGCUUCAGAGCCCUUGAGCAAGGCCGGCCGGAGACCGGCCGUCUGACCUGGGGGCCCAGGAAGCCGCUGAUUUCCCCGGAGGAGGACCGGCCUUUGCAGCAGCUCUCUGUGGAGGAAGCUGUGGGUCUGACUAAACAAUAAACCUUCCAUUCUUUGACCA